UACAGAGGUCCCGAGCGUUGUUCGGAUUCACUGGGCGUAAAGGGUGCGUAGGUGGCAUGGCCAGUUUGAUGUGAAAGCUCAGGGCUUAACCCUGAAAUGGCAUUGAAUACUGCUGUGCUGGAGGUUUGGAGGGGGGACUGGAAUUCUUGGUGUAGCAGUGAAAUGCGUAGAUAUCAAGAGGAACACCAGUGGCGAAGGCGACUUCCUGGCCUGUUCUUGACGCUGAGGCGCGAAAGCUAGGGUAGCAAACGGG
rnacentral:rRNA from 1 species